AAAAGUUAUUUAUUGCUUCUAAGCAAUUUUUUUAUUGGUUUUAGCCUCUUAUGAGAGAAAAUGGGUAUAAGUGUUGUCUAAAACACUCCUAAUCCAUCUAUAACUCUUAUAAUUAGUCAAAGGAUUUGGAUUGUGACUUAUUUUGACCAUCGAAACACUAACAAACCUAAUUACUGCUUCUAAACAAUUUUUUGUUGGUUUUAGCUUUUUUUGGGAGAAAAUGGGUAUAAGUGUUUUCUAAACAGUCCUAAUCCAUCUCUAACUCUUAUAAUUAGUCAAAUGCAUUGGAUUGUGACACAUUUUGACCAUAAAAACACUAAAAAAACUGUUU
rnacentral:sRNA from 1 species